UACGUAGGUGGCAAGCGUUGUCCGGAUUUAUUGGGUUUAAAGGGUGCGUAGGCGGCUUUGUAAGUCAGUGGUGAAAUACGGUAGCUUAACUAUCGAGGUGCCAUUGAUACUGUGAGGCUUGAGUACAGAUGAGGUAGGCGGAAUUGACGGUGUAGCGGUGAAAUGCUUAGAUAUCGUCAAGAACACCUAUAGCGAAGGCAGCUUACUAGGCUGUAACUGACGCUGAGGCACGAAAGUGUGGGGAUCAAACAGG
rnacentral:rRNA from 1 species